GACGAACGCUGGCGGCGUGCUUAACACAUGCAAGUCGAACGGAAAGGCCCUGCUCUUGUGGGGUGCUCGAGUGGCGAACGGGUGAGUAACACGUGAGUAACCUCCCCUUGACUUUGGGAUAACUUCAGGAAACUGGGGCUACUACCGGAUAGGAGCUCCUGCUGCAUGGUGGGGGUUGGAAAGUUUCGGCGGUUGGGGAUGGACUCGCGGCUUAUCAGCUUGUUGGUGGGGUAGUGGCUUACCAAGGCUUUGACGGGUAGCCGGCCUGAGAGGGUGACCGGCCACAUUGGGACUGAGAUACGGCCCAGACUCCUACGGGAGGCAGCAGUGGGGAAUAUUGCACAAUGGGCGGAAGCCUGAUGCAGCAACGCCGCGUGCGGGAUGACGGCCUUCGGGUUGUAAACCGCUUUCGCCUGUGACGAAGCGUGAGUGACGGUAAUGGGUAAAGAAGCACCGGCUAACUACGUG
rnacentral:rRNA from 1 species